rnacentral:rRNA from 1 species
UACGUAGGGGGCAAGCGUUGUCCGGAUUUACUGGGCGUAAAGAGCGCGCAGGCGGUCGUUCAAGUCGCGUGUGAAAGCCCCCGGCUCAACUGGGGAGGGUCACGCGAUACUGAUCGACUCGAAGGCAGGAGAGGGAAGUGGAAUUCCCGGUGUAGCGGUGGAAUGCGUAGAGAUCGGGAAGAACACCCGUGGCGAAGGCGACGUGCUGGGCUGUUUCUGACGCUGAGAUGCGAAAGUGUGGGGAGCAAACGGG